GCAGCUUCUUUCAUUGCUCCUCAGAAAAAAAAAAAGGAGGCUUUUGUCCGUAAGUCCAUUCCCCAGAGUGUAUCAAGCCUGAGCAGUGGGCUGAAGCCUGAAACUGCAGCAGGGAUGCUGUUGUGUGUGCGUGCAGGCUGGGGUUACAGCCACACAUUAACAACAUGGAGGAAACCAGCAGAAUCCCUGUGGAAAUGGGCCAGGAAAGGCCAAGAGCCUCCACACAUGGAAGUGUGGAGCAGUGUGGGCAGGCAAGGUGUUAGCAGUGAGUGCUGAUGGACAUGUGCCCAAGUGUGCUUUGCACUGAUGGUCCCUGGUGGGCGUGAGGUGCGCUGUGAUAGUGACAGGUACCCCUGAGACCGGACCUGCCUCGUGCCUGCUGCUUUCCAGAGCCGGACAUGGCAAUUCCUGAGCAAAGGAACCACCUGAUGGGAAACCUUACCCCUUUGCUAAAAGGUGGUAACACUCAGGAAGAUGCUCUGAAUUUACAGGCCACAUUCUCUAACCUCGGGGGAAAAGAACCAUCCAAAAGGAGGGCUUGCAAAGGUCCUGUAAGAUCUAACAGCACUAGUUAAGUUAUUCUGCUGCACAUCAACAACAUGGAUUUCAGGUAAGACAAGGCUGGUAUUGAAUGCUUUAACCCCUUACAAACUCUCUACAUUAGGAUUAAAUGAGGACAGCUCCUAACCUCUCAUUUUGAGUGAGCAGUCCCAGGCUUUAGGGCCUUUAUGUUAGCACAGCCUCCUUACAAAGCCCAGAACAGAGCUGAUGUUUUCACAUUCAUAU